GAUGAAGAACGCAGUGAAAUGCGAUAAGUAAUGUGAAUUGCAGAAUUCAGUGAAUCAUCGAAUCUUUGAACGCACAUUGCGCCCGCCGGCACUCCGGCGGGCACGCCCGUCCGAGCGUCACUUCAACCACACUCGGGGAGCCGCCCGGCGGCGCCCCGGCAUUGGGCUUCCGCGGUCCCCUGGCCGCGGUACCCGAAACACAGCGGCGGCAGCGCUAGUGGCGUCCCCUGCGUAGUAACCACACCUCGCACCGGACCCCGCGCGCGGCCCGCCCCGCGGCGCCCCAGCGGCGCCGCGGCACCACCCCCCAAAAGGUUGACCUCGGAUCGGGCGGGGCUACCCGCUGAACUUAAGCAUAUCAAUAAGCGGAGGA
rnacentral:misc_RNA from 1 species